AUAAACUGAAAGCCAAGUCCAAUCUAGGUCUCUCCUCCCUGUGAGGAGGAGUCAAUGCAAAACUCAGAUGUCUUCCACCUCUACUUAUCUGACUGCAGAGAGGACGACAGAGAACAGUGGACACACAGUUUAACAUGAUGGACUAUAGGACAGGACUGCUGCUUUUAACUCUCUGCUGGGCAGGUGUUGAUGGUCAGACUCUGACAGAAUCGGAACCAGUGGUUAAAAGGCCUGGAGAAUCUCACAGAUUGACCUGUACAGCCUCUGGAUUCACAUUCAGCAGCUACUGGAUGCAUUGGGUCAGACAGGCUGCUGGAAAAGGACUGGAGUGGGUCGCAGCUGAUGGUGGUGGUAGUGGCAAAUACUACUCUCAGUCAGUUCAAGGCCGGUUUACCAUCUCCAGAGACGACAGCAGACAGCAGCUGUAUCUGCAGAUGAACAGUCUGACGACUGAAGAUUCUGCUGUUUAUUAUUGUGCUCGAGAGCCACAGUGACUGGAGUUGGUUGAGCAGCUGUACAAAAUCCUACAGGACUCAUCGUUCAGGCUAGUAGAGCCCAAACAUGAAGUUUUUUUAUAGUAUUUAUAUUGUAUACUAUGUGUUUUUUUUAAUGUUUUAUUUUUUUACAUAGCUUUUUAUUUAUUUUUAUUCCAUAUGUUUAAAUGCAUAUAUAUUUUUUAAAUAAUGCAUUAUACAAAGUCCUGAAAACCUUUCCUGAGAAAAAUUAUUAUAGAACAAACAAUUAAAAAACCACAAUAAAGAUUACUUGUUCUUAAAAGGGCCAUAGACAGCACAACAAUCUGGUUGCUGAAAUUGAACUACUACAAAUACUAAACAUUUCUACAAAUUAAGACUCAAUAAUGUCUUAAUUUGUAGAAAUUUGAGUACCACUGAUGUAACAGACUCAUUUUGCUCUAUAAUACAAACCAACUGAAAGUAAUAUAACAAUCCAAAACAACAAACUGUAUGUUAUUUGAUUUAGACUGUUAUUUUAUUUCUGACACAACCACACAGAUGAAGGUCAAAUGUGUUGAUCAUUACGAAAAGUAA